AACGAACGCUGGCGGCAUGCCUAACACAUGCAAGUCGAACGAGACCUUCGGGUAUAGUGGCGCACGGGUGCGUAACGCGUGGGAACCUGCCCUUAGGUUCGGAAUAACUCCCCGAAAGGGGUGCUAAUACCGGAUAAUGUCUUCGGACCAAAGAUUUAUCGCCUUUGGAUGGGCCCGCGUUGGAUUAGCUAGUUGGUAGGGUAAAAGCCUACCAAGGCGACGAUCCAUAGCUGGUCUGAGAGGAUGAUCAGCCACACUGGGACUGAGACACGGCCCAGACUCCUACGGGAGGCAGCAGUGGGGAAUAUUGGACAGUGGGCGAAAGCCUGAUCCAGCAAUGCCGCGUGAGUGAUGAAGGCCUUAGGGUUGUAAAGCUAUUUUACCCGGGAUGAUAAUGACAGUACCGGGAGAAUAAGCUCCGGCUAACUCCGUG
rnacentral:rRNA from 1 species